rnacentral:rRNA from 1 species
UACGUAGGGGGCAAGCGUUGUCCGGAUUUAUUGGGCGUAAAGAGCGUGUAGGCGGCCAGGUAGGUCUGCUGUGAAAACUCGAGGCUUAACCUCGAGAUGUCGGCGGAAACCAUCUGGCUAGAGUCCGGAAGAGGAGAAUGGAAUUCCCGGUGUAGCGGUGAAAUGCGCAGAUAUCGGGAAGAACACCCGUGGCUAAGGCGAUUCUCUAGUACGGUACUGACGCUGAGACGCGAAAGCGUGGGGAGCGAACAGG